rnacentral:rRNA from 1 species
GACGAACGCUGGCGGCCUUUCUAAUACAUGCAAGUCGAGCGAAGUUUUAAAAGCUUGCUUUUGAAACUUAGCGGCGGACGGGUGAGUAACACGUGGGCAACCUGCCCUGUAGACUGGGAUAACUUCGGGAAACCGAAGCUAAUACCGGAUAAUCUUUGGAGCUUCAUGGCUCUAAAGUAAAAGUUGGGUUUACCUAACACUACAGGAUGGGCCCGCGUCGCAUUAGCUAGUUGGUAAGGUAACGGCUUACCAAGGCGACGAUGCGUAGCCGACCUGAGAGGGUGAUCGGCCACACUGGGACUGAGACACGGCCCAGACUCCUACGGGAGGCAGCAGUAGGGAAUCUUCCGCAAUGGACGAAAGUCUGACGGAGCAACGCCGCGUGAACGGUGAAGGCCUUCGGGUCGUAAAGUUCUGUUGUUAGGGAAGAACAAGUACCGUUCAAAUAGGGCGGUACCUUGACGGUACCUAACGAGAAAGCCACGGCUAACUACGUG